rnacentral:tRNA from 1 species
GGAGAGAUGGCUCAGUGGUUAAGAGCACUGGCUGCUCUUCCAGAGGACCCGGGUUCAUAUCCCAGCACUCACCA